rnacentral:rRNA from 1 species
UGGGGAGUGACGUCAAGUCAGCAUGGCCUUUAUAUCCUGGGCUACACACACGCUACAAUGGGAAAGGACAAUAGGUAGCGAAACCGCGAGGUGGAGCCAAUCCAGCAAAAUUUCCCUCAGUUCAGAUUGCAGGCUGCAACUCGCCUGCAUGAAGUUGGAGUUGCUAGUAAACGCAGGUCAGCCAUACUGCGUUGAAUACGUUCCCGGGGGCUU